GGGUUGUGAGGUUAAGCGACUAAGCGUACACGGUGGAUGCCCUGGCAGUCAGAGGCGAUGAAGGGCGUGCUAAUCUGCGAUAAGCGCCGGUAAGGUGAUAUGAACCGUUAUAACCGGCGAUACCCGAAUGGGGAAACCCAGUGUGAUUCGUCACACUAUCAUUAACUGAAUCCAUAGGUUAAUGAGGCGAACCGGGGGAACUGAAACAUCUAAGUACCCCGAGGAAAAGAAAUCAACCGAGAUUCCCCCAGUAGCGGCGAGCGAACGGGGAGGAGCCCAGAGCCUGAAUCAGCAUGUGUGUUAGUGGAAGCGUCUGGAAAGGCGCGCGAUACAGGGUGACAGCCCCGUACACAAAAGCGCAUGUGCUGUGAGCUCGAUGAGUAGGGCGGGACACGUGGUAUCCUGUCUGAAUAUGGGGGGACCAUCCUCCAAGGCUAAAUACUCCUGACUGACCGAUAGUGAACCAGUACCGUGAGGGAAAGGCGAAAAGAACCCCGGCGAGGGGAGUGAAAAAGAACCUGAAACCGUGUACGUACAAGCAGUGGGAGCNNNNNNNNNNNNNNNNNNNNNNNNNNNNNNNNNNNNNNNNNNNNGGGCGUUAAGUUGCAGGGUAUAGACCCGAAACCCGGUGAUCUAGCCAUGGGCAGGUUGAAGGUUGGGUAACACUAACUGGAGGACCGAACCGACUAAUGUUGAAAAAUUAGCGGAUGACCUGUGGCUGGGGGUGAAAGGCCAAUCAAACCGGGAGAUAGCUGGUUCUCCCCGAAAGCUAUUUAGGUAGCGCCUCGUGAAUUCAUCUCCGGGGGUAGAGCACUGUUUCGGCUAGGGGGCCAUCCCGGCUUACCAACCCGAUGCAAACUGCGAAUACCGGAGAAUGUUAUCACGGGAGACACACGGCGGGUGCUAACGUCCGUCGUGAAGAGGGAAACAACCCAGACCGCCAGCUAAGGUCCCAAAGUCAUGGUUAAGUGGGAAACGAUGUGGGAAGGCCCAGACAGCCAGGAUGUUGGCUUAGAAGCAGCCAUCAUUUAAAGAAAGCGUAAUAGCUCACUGGUCGAGUCGGCCUGCGCGGAAGAUGUAACGGGGCUAAACCAUGCACCGAAGCUGCGGCAGCGACACUGUGUGUUGUUGGGUAGGGGAGCGUUCUGUAAGCCUGUGAAGGUGUGUCGUGAGGCAUGCUGGAGGUAUCAGAAGUGCGAAUGCUGACAUAAGUAACGAUAAAGCGGGUGAAAAGCCCGCUCGCCGGAAGACCAAGGGUUCCUGUCCAACGUUAAUCGGGGCAGGGUGAGUCGACCCCUAAGGCGAGGCCGAAAGGCGUAGUCGAUGGGAAACGGGUUAAUAUUCCCGUACUUGGUGUUACUGCGAAGGGGGGACGGAGAAGGCUAUGUUGGCCGGGCGACGGUUGUCCCGGUUUAAGCGUGUAGGUGUGUGUUCCAGGUAAAUCCGGUUCACUUUAACACUGAGGCGUGACGACGAGGCACUACGGUGCUGAAGCAACAAAUGCCCUGCUUCCAGGAAAAGCCUCUAAGCAUCAGGUAACAUCAAAUCGUACCCCAAACCGACACAGGUGGUCAGGUAGAGAAUACCAAGGCGCUUGAGAGAACUCGGGUGAAGGAACUAGGCAAAAUGGUGCCGUAACUUCGGGAGAAGGCACGCUGACACGUAGGUGAAGUGAUUUACUCAUGGAGCUGAAGUCAGUCGAAGAUACCAGCUGGCUGCAACUGUUUAUUAAAAACACAGCACUGUGCAAACACGAAAGUGGACGUAUACGGUGUGACGCCUGCCCGGUGCCGGAAGGUUAAUUGAUGGGGUCAGCGCAAGCGAAGCUCCUGAUCGAAGCCCCGGUAAACGGCGGCCGUAACUAUAACGGUCCUAAGGUAGCGAAAUUCCUUGUCGGGUAAGUUCCGACCUGCACGAAUGGCGUAAUGAUGGCCAGGCUGUCUCCACCCGAGACUCAGUGAAAUUGAACUCGCUGUGAAGAUGCAGUGUACCCGCGGCAAGACGGAAAGACCCCGUGAACCUUUACUAUAGCUUGACACUGAACAUUGAGCCUUGAUGUGUAGGAUAGGUGGGAGGCUUUGAAGUGUGGACGCCAGUCUGCAUGGAGCCGACCUUGAAAUACCACCCUUUAAUGUUUGAUGUUCUAACGUGGACCCGUUACCCGGGUUGCGGACAGUGUCUGGUGGGUAGUUUGACUGGGGCGGUCUCCUCCUAAAGAGUAACGGAGGAGCACGAAGGUUGGCUAAUCCUGGUCGGACAUCAGGAGGUUAGUGCAAUGGCAUAAGCCAGCUUGACUGCGAGCGUGACGGCGCGAGCAGGUGCGAAAGCAGGUCAUAGUGAUCCGGUGGUUCUGAAUGGAAGGGCCAUCGCUCAACGGAUAAAAGGUACUCCGGGGAUAACAGGCUGAUACCGCCCAAGAGUUCAUAUCGACGGCGGUGUUUGGCACCUCGAUGUCGGCUCAUCACAUCCUGGGGCUGAAGUAGGUCCCAAGGGUAUGGCUGUUCGCCAUUUAAAGUGGUACGCGAGCUGGGUUUAGAACGUCGUGAGACAGUUCGGUCCCUAUCUGCCGUGGGCGCUGGAGAACUGAGGGGGGCUGCUCCUAGUACGAGAGGACCGGAGUGGACGCAUCACUGGUGUUCGGGUUGUCAUGCCAAUGGCACUGCCCGGUAGCUAAAUGCGGAAGAGAUAAGUGCUGAAAGCAUCUAAGCACGAAACUUGCCCCGAGAUGAGUUCUCCCUGAGACUUAAAGUCUCCUGAAGGAACGUUGAAGACGACGACGUUGAUAGGCCGGGUGUGUAAGCGCAGCGAUGCGUUGAGCUAACCGGUACUAAUGAACCGUGAGGCUUAACCUUACAACGCCGAAG
rnacentral:rRNA from 1 species